CUUUUCUAUAAAUCAAGAUUUUGUUGAACUACAUUAAGAUAUCCCUUAAAUUUUCUAUCAAUGGAGUGGUCUCCUCAAUAUGCCAUGGAAGCUUACUUGCACACUCUACAACUGUCUAAGAGAUACAGCAACGAAGGAAGUACAAAACUCAUAGAACCCAAAUACAUGGAGUUUGUAUCAGCUUUGGCAACUGGGAAGCAAGCCAGAUUAAUGAUGGAGAUAACCACACAAGGGAUAACUCCAAUAAAAUUAUCCUUAGCAGUAGCAGCAAAGCAAACAGGAGGGAAGCUCAUCUGCAUUCUUCCUCGUGAUCAAAAUGAUUUCAAGAAAUGCAGAAACCAUCUUCAAGAUCUUGAAGAUGUGAUUGAAUUUGUUCAUGGAAAUCCUUUCCGAGAAGCCAUGCAAUACAAGAAGAUAGAUUUUCUUGUUCUGGAUGGAAAAUUGGAGGGUCAUUUGAAGUUGCUGGAGAUGGUUGAUCUUAACCCAACUGGGUGUAUCAUUGUAGGGCAUAAUUUGCAGUACGCAGAAUAUGGGGUUUCUUUUGGUCAGGUGUUGAAUGGGAAGAAAGGAGUUGAUCAGUGUGUGACUUUGCCUAUAGGAGAAGAAAUGGAGUUGACAAGAAUUGAAUCUUUCACCAAGAG
rnacentral:misc_RNA from 1 species